GAUGAAGAACGUAGCGAAAUGCGAUACGUAAUGUGAAUUGCAGAAUUCAGUGAAUCAUCGAAUCUUUGAACGCAUAUUGCGCUCUCUGGUAUUCCGGAGAGCAUGCUUGUUUGAGUAUCAGUAAACACCUCAACUUCCAUAUCUUUUUUGAAAUGGGAGUUGGACUUGAGUGAUCCCAACGCUUUUCCUCACCGAAAAGUGGCGGGUUACUUGAAAUGCAGGUGCAGCUGGACUUUUCUCUGAGCUAUAAGCAUAUCUAUUUAGUCUGCCUAAAAAACAGAUUAUUACCUUUGCUGCAGCUAACAUAAAGGAGAUUAGUUCUUGUGCUGACUGAUGCAGGAUUCACAAAAACGGCUUCGGCCGACUUUGUAAACUUGAUCUCAAAUCAAGUAAGACUACCCGCUGAACUUAAGCAUAUCAAUAAGCGGAGGA
rnacentral:misc_RNA from 1 species